UUCCCUCUCUCCUACUCAAGCAGUAAUGGGGCUAAGAUCAAAGUGUAGUAUCUGUUCUUAUCAGCUUAAUCUCUGAUAUGUAAUCUAUCGAUCACUUCGAGAUUACUCUAUUUUUGACACCAU
rnacentral:snRNA from 1 species